UUAGUCAUCAAACCAAACACCUGAACAGGACAAAAAGAUGAAAAAAGAAUAAAAAAGAAAAACUUGUAACUUUAAUUAACAUCAACUAGCAGGCAACUGCAGAGUUUGUAUGCACACACAAGUUUACACAAAUAUAAAUUUGUAUCGCUGGUUGUCAUUCUUUCUUAACCCAAAAAGUGUCAUGUGUACAUUUUUGGUUCGAAAAAGAGGACAUCAUAGAGAAUAGGCAGUGAUUAAUGUGAAGGCCAGUUGAAGUUUAAAAUCAUUGAACACCCAAGACCAUGAUAAUCCAUAAAACUAAAAGCCAGAAUGCAUAUGGAAAAUUUUUUAUUUUUCCUUUAUUGCACUGUAGGUUGUCAUGCAACCAACCCUGAGCAAAUGUAAACCUCAGGCAAAUAAAGUUGGACAAAAUGGGUUCCUUCUUCCUUGAGGCAAUCAUAGAAGAUACCAAGGUAGUGAAAGAAUUAUACACAUUCACACACUGACAACCUAGGAAGAAGAUAUCUUACCACAGUACUGAAAAGAACA
rnacentral:misc_RNA from 1 species